AUUGAACGCUGGCGGCAGGCCUAACACAUGCAAGUCGAACGAGUGGCGGACGGGUGAGUAAUGUCUGGGCCACUGCCUUAUGGAGGGGGAUACCUACUGGAAACGGUAGCUCCUACCGCAUACCAUCAGAUGUGCCCAGGUGGGAUUAGGUAGUUGGUGGGGUAAAGGCUCCCCAAGGCGACGAUCCCUAGCUGGUCUGAGAGGAUGACCAGCCACACGGGGACUGAGACACGGCCCAGACUCCUACGGGAGGCAGCAGUGGGGAAUAUUGCACAAUGGGCGCAAGCCUGAUGCAGCCAUGCCGCGUGUAUGAAGAAGGCCUUCGGGUUGUAAAGUACUUUCAGCGGGUAGGCGUUAACUGCAGAAGAAGCACCGGCUAACUCCGUGCCAGCAGCCGCGGUAAUAC
rnacentral:rRNA from 1 species